AUGGCUAAUGUCUCGGAGAUGGACCGCCAGAGCCAUCCUGUGGCCUUCACUGUCACCAUCCUGCCUGUCAAUGGCCAACCCCCCGACCUCACCACAAACUCAGGCCUGCAGGGUCCGUCCAGCCACUCAGCAGCCAGAGCCUCAGAGCCAGCUCCAGUGCAGGCACCAACCUCCAGCUUCUGCUCUUACUGUGUGGUGCGGGGCCCCCAGCUAGGUCGGCUCUUCCAUGCCCAGCAUGACAGCACAGGGGAGGACCUGGUGAACUUCACUCAGCCAGAGACCACGGAGUUCAUAUUGGAGCUGCUGGCCAGUCUGUACUCAUGUGGGGACCAGAACACCCUGGUGGAGCAGUUGGCAGAAGAGGCACAGCGGCGCGACGAGAUGCUGCGCAUGCACCACAUGCUGAAGGAGGUACUCACCAUCAUCAGGGACAUCAACACGACCACCGUCAGCCUGCCCCUAAGCCUGCAUGUGGACGACUCCUGGCUGCAGGUCGCCCAAGUCCAGCCCCGGGAUGCCCAGCCCCCGCCACGUCCCCAGCCCAGCCUGGGUUGCGGGCCCGGCUUCUGGGCUUCCUGCUGCUGGGUGCGCCCUUGGGGAAGUGCCACCCCGUAUCCUCCAGACCAGAGGCUUCCCCUGAUCCCUUCGGUCCUACUCGCCAGGUGCUCUCAUGCCCCACUCGGGAUCACCAACACCAACCAUGUGCCUAGAGCUAACUGGGUCAAGAAGAGCAUACUUCAAUUGGCUGGAGUGAGCAAUUCAACUUGUGGAGGAAUGAGAAAUGAUAGUGUUGAGACAAGAAACAUAAAACCCCAGGCUGCAGCAUAUCAUGAGUGACGAGAUCUGUAUACACUGAUGUAUACAGAUCAGUGUAUACAUACAUACACUGACCUUUACCUGGCAGAAAACAAUAAUGGGGCCACCGGAGGCCAGCCGAACACACAGAACUCAAGAAGCCUCCUGGAGUCAACGUAUCCGCGGAAAGCCGAGCAGCUAAUGUCAGAUGAGAAAUGCUUUAAGGUGAGAGUUGCUCAUGUAGUCAAAGACCUUGCUGGUGACAGUGUAAGUUGUUAGGAUUCUCUGAAUCAGAAGUUAAAGCCAGGAUACUUUGACCCUGCGAUUCUACUCCUGGAACUUUUUAGAGUUCCUAAUGAGUUCAGCAGAAAAACACAAAGUGGAAGUAACCAUCUUCCUGGAGAGUCUACUUAGUUUCUUUCUUGCUUUAAAUAAAAAAAAAAAAAAAAAAAUCUAGUUAUAUAUGAUUUUUACAAUUUUGUAUUCUUCUUUUUCUCUGAACAUUUUUCAUAGUAUACUCUGUAUAUAUAAUUGUUAAAAAAAAAAAAAAGUUGGUACAUGAAACCCAUGGUCAUGGCCAUUAUAGAAAAGAAAAUGUAGGCCUGGCACACGUGGCUCACACUUGUAAUCCCAGCACUCUGGGAGGCCGAGGUGGUCAGAUUGCUUGAGACCAGCUUGGGAAACAUGGCAAAACCCCAUCUUUUUAAAAAAUACAAGAAUACAAAAAUUAGCCAGGGGUGGUGGCAUGUGCCUGUAGUCCCAGCUACUCAGGAGACAGAGGUGGGAGGAUCGCUUAAGCCUGGGGGGUCAAGACUGCAGUGAGCCCUGAUCACGUCACUGCCCUCCAGCCUGGGUGACAGAGUAAGAACCUAUCUCAAAAAAAAAAAAAAAAAAAAAAAAGGGAGAUAACCAAAAAAAUGUCACCUUAGAAUUCUUUCCUGAAAUUACCAUUGAUGACAUUUCUAGACUUUUCUAUGCUUGAGUAUAUAUUUUCAAGGAGUUUAUACUGGACAAAUGGUCUUUCACUUUAUUUAUUUUGAGACAGGGUCAUGCUCUGUUGCACAGGCUGGAAUGCAGUGGCGUGAUCUUGGCUCACUGCAACCUCUACCUCCUGGGUUCAAGCUAUCAUCAUGCCUCAGCCACCCUAGUAGCUGGAAUUACAGGCAUGUGCCACCACACUGGCUAAUUUUUGUAUUUUUAUGUGUGUCAGAUCCCAGGGUCCAGGUCCAGCCUUUGCUGAAGUCUGAGGGGAGUGGGUGAGUGAGCAGAAAGAACACUCCGGGGGGACAUACAUAGGUGAAAGAUAGUUUUAUUCAAUGGCAACUCUCAUUAACAGCUUCCUUACACUAGCUCUCUUAUUAGCAGCUUACUCUUACAUUGUUCACCUGUCUCAGCAUCUUAAGCCAGCUGCCCCCACACGCAGCUGCAUAGCCGGCUCUCUCUUGCCUUCAGGGUCAGCAGCUUAACUCCUUCUCUCUCUGGGCACGAGCAAGCCCAGCUGUGUCCUGGCUCCCUCCCAUCUGUCUGCAAAAUGGACAGCUUUGGCUCUCUCUUUCUCUGGGUGCCAGUGCGCUCAUCAUGUCAAGCCAUGUUGAGCCAAGCUGAGCCAAGCCCCAAAGAGCCAUAUCUCUUAUGCACAACGUCAACAGGGUAGUUAUGCCUUUGACAGACAAUAGUGGCAUAAAGCCAGGCAUGAACUUACACAAACAGGUUAUAUUACAAGUGGAGCUGUGUGCUUGCACACCAAACUCGAGCCAUGCAGGCCUGGCUAUCCGCCUCGGCCUAUUCCUUGACCAAAGCACAUCCAUGUACCUUACAAUGUGGUUUUGCUGUGUUGGCCAGCCUGGUCUCCAACUCCUGGACUCAAGUGAUCUGUCUGCCUCAGCCUCCAAGUGCUGGGAUUACAGGCGUGAGCCACUGCAUCUAACCUGAAAUGGCGUAUUUUUGCUCAGUUAGCAACACUUCUGGGUGUUCAAUGUCUUUUCUAUGGCUAUUUGAUAUUCACUUUAUAGAGAAUUAAAGCCUGUAUUGUUGGACAUUUACGUUGUUUCCAAGUUUUCACCAUUAUAACUGUAUUUGUGUGUAUAUAUUAUAUUCUUGCCAGGCUGUAAGCUUUACUAGCAGAGAGGAAUUUUUAAAGCUUUAAAAGAACACUGAGCUGGAUCUAGCUUCUGGCUCUGUGUUUAUUGACUAGUGGUGUGCCUUGAGAAACCAGAACUCUCUGAAUUUCAGUUUUGUCUCUGUGUAAAUGAAGAAGGUUGAAAUAAAAAAAUCUCAAAUGUCCUUCCAGGCUCUGAUCUUCUCCUUGUGAUUCUGAUAGUUACCUCAUCUGCAGAAAGCCCUUAGGGUAACGGCCCUGAGAAUCUCAGGGUUCUAAAAGGGGAGAUCCAUGUGCCAUCACCAUUGAUAGUUGAUAUUUGUUUUAUGAAAAACAUGGUUUGCUUGCCUCUAUUGGUGUGUUGCUUUUAAGUAUGGAUUUUUUUUUAAUUACCAGGGAGCCCCUGCAACAUUUUUGGAAAAAACAUCAUUCUCCCAGAGCAGAUUGUGCUUGUGACCUUGGGCCAUGAUGCAGCCAUAGCCUGGUGUCAAUGUGGGGCAGCAAUGAUGACACACUUCAUCCUGCUGUAAGGCCUUGUUGGGGGCUCUUUGCCUAGUCUCCAGGCAAGGGACAGCUGCCCUUCUCUUAGCAAGGAAAGGGGGCUACUUCUUUUAGCCCAGAGCAUUCUGUGGAAACUGGAGGUUCGAAGUUCUCAGAUGUAUCCACUUAAGUUUCCCCAUACCAGAUAUCAGGAUCCCAUUCCUCUCCUCCCCUCCUCUCCUCUUUCUUUUCUUUUCUUUUCUCUUUCUUUUUCUGUCUUCCUUUCUCUCUUUUUGAGAUGGGAUCUUACUCUGUCGCCCAGGCUGGAGUGCAGUGAAGUGAUCUCAGUUCACUGCAAUCUCUGCCUCCUGGGCUCAGGCAAUCCUCCCACCUCAGUCUCCUGGGUAGCUGGGACCACAGGCACGUGCUACCACAUCUGGCUAAUUUUUGUAUUUUUUAUAGAGAUGGGUUUUCACCAUAUUGCCCAGGCUGGUCUCAAACUCCCGGGCUCAGGUGAUCCUCCUGCCUCCGCCUCCCAAAGUGCUGGGAUUACAGGUAUGAGCCACUGCACUCAGGUCUCCUUUUCCUUAAGUAAUUCUAAAUAAAAAAAGACUAAAUCAUAAAAUAAAAUUUGUGUUUUUUGGGGAAAUGAUACAAAACUUCCAUGACAGCUGACAUUAAAAUAGUUUAUUUCUUGAUUUUCUGCUGUGUGCACGUGUGUGUGUGCACACUGGUCGUUUGGUGCCCUAUGUGUGUACUUUCUGUAGCUACUGGGUCAAUCUGCACAAUGUCUGACUCCACAAUUUCCAGCAAACAAAAGCUCUACACAGCCUAAUUUUCAAGCAGUCAAGACUGAAGCAGCAGUCUCCUUCCGGGUUUAAUUAGAAUUAAACUGCCAGGGUGUACUUGUGUGGGAAACUGAUACUUUUCAGCAAGAAGUUUCCAGGUGAGGCCUGUCACUCUCCAGUGUAACUCUAGGGCCUGCUUGGCAGGGGGACUGGCUUUGGCUGGAGGCUGGGUCCAGAGGGCUCUCCUGGCAUGGCACAUUCCCAUCGUAGGGAGGGAACUCUGUUGGGAGCAUGAGAUGGAUGA
rnacentral:lncRNA from 10 species